UCCCGCUGUCGACUUGUUGCUCAUAAAUAGCACAAUUGAUUUGCUUGAUAUUCUGGUAUAGGAUCAUCAUAUAUUGAAAUCUGGGACUUGUUUGAGAGUUCAGACUCCCUAUUUCGGGGCAGCAACAAGGAAAUUUAAGGCCUGUUUGUAGUGAUUCACAAGGAUUUCCUGGUGCGUGCUUUGCUCCCCUUCGAACCAAAUCGAACCCAACAGAGAAAACACACCCGCACGCAUCCUUUUGGUCGCUGUCCCUGAUGCCAAAUUGUAAUCACUGCAACUGUACUUCUUACUUCUGUUAUUUUCACUUUUUGGUAACUGAAACAUAGCCUUCAUAGUCUGUUUAGGAGUACACAUGAAUUACCACAAUGAGGUCAAUAUUUGUACUCCAUGGGGAAAUGUUGUCUACUUUGGGUUUCUCUUUCAUGGAAUACUGUUUAUAGUGUUAUACGCUUUCAUUGGGGUAACACAGAUUGGUGUUGAUACUUUCUGAUUGCUUUAUGUAACUGUAAGUCAUGUUAAAAAUAUAUAUCAAUAGGCAUAGUAAGUGAUAUGUGAAUGUCAAAACUAAAUUAUAGAGUCCAGGAUUUGUGACAGUACUAUGAAUUGGUAUAUAUACCACUGCAUCGAUAAGUGCAGAACUGAAGCAUUGAUGGCAACUCUUCUUUUUGUGCCUGUAUAUAUUAUUGAAUCCUUCUUCUUUUGUGUACUUACUACACAGGUUGCAACAACUCUCUUACAGCACUAGAGUUUUGUUUCCCUGUACUUUUGUAUCAUAUGUAGUCCUGGCUGAACUUUUGUCAUGAUCAGGUUGAAAAUAUUGGAGCUAAAUUGGUCAGGUUGAAAAUACUCAGGUUGGUGCAACUCCGGCCUUGUCACCCACACAUCGUGCCCGCAGCGGCCUCAGCGCUGCCGACACCACCACCAGGUCUUGAUUUCCCAACCACGCCGAUCUUGGUGUUCUUCUUUUUGUUCGAUUGUGUUUUAACCUAAGAAUUUUGUUACAGCUUCGGCGCUUCGCGUUUGAGUUUUGCAACGCCGGCGGACGUCCGAGCUGCUUACUGAAUGCCAGAUGGUGGAAAUGAUUGUGCUGAUAUACGCCCGCGACAGCCCCAAACGCUAGAGCAGUUCAACUCCUUGCGGGUCCCCAAUCUCAGGUACUCCCAUUAAUCCUAUCUGAUGCUUCCUAUGAGUACCAGCCUCGCAUGCAUGCUCAGGUUGGUGCUGCUGGAUUGAAUCGGUUAACAUUGGUGCUUUUUCUUGCCAAAGUUGGAUUCAUUGAGCUACACGUCCACGCCUCAAUCACUCAGAACAAGUUGAUUGCUGGAUGGUAACUUCGUUAUAGCUAAACCAUUUUUAUUAGAUUAACUAAAUUGGAUUCCAUUAAUCUUAUUUGUAUAUGUUCCCUUGACUGCAUAAUUAGCAGUUCCGUUUUCGAAUUAAACAACUGGUCCUUUGGUUUGGCAGUGUUUAUCUCUUUUGAUGAUUCUUUUACACUACUGUUUCUGUUAGAUACUAAUUGAGUUUCAGCUUUGAUUUAUUAACAUGCAUGUCCAUUCUAAUAGACAUUCAUUUCAGGUUUGGACCUUUCUUGGUGGAUGUGUCUCCUUACUUCAUCUCUUUUACUUUCAACUUUGUCGCAACCAUAGAGGAUUCUUAAUUUGAUUCUUCUGGUAUGUAUGUGGUUGCAGCACCCUGUUUGAAAUAUAAUAUAUCAUGUUCUCUGCACCGUCGCUGAUUUUCAAUAGUAACAAUUUCGUACUCCUCCAGCACCAUAUUUCAUUAGGAUAAUGUUAUUGCUUCUUGAGGUUUAUUUAUAGACAUGGGAUGUUCUCAAAGUUUAAUCUUAAUAUAGGUUCAUACGGACUCGGUCGGACAAAGCAAUUUCAUUUGAGCAGAAAUGAUACUAAAUCACCUGUCAGUUAAUCCUUUCAUGUAGGAGAACCAUUAUACUAAUCAGAAGAUGCAUGCGUUCUGGCAUCCACUAAGGGUGACCCCUUUUUUAGUUUUGUCACAUAAUGUUAGUUACUCACCUUAGAGAACCCCCUUUUUUAUCUUCUAUAAGGUUGCCUGCUACUGCUAGCGUAUGCAAGUAAAAGCAGCUAUUUGCACCAUCAUUCAUUGCUUCAAACUUCUGUUGAUCAAUUCACACCCAAAAAAACGCUUACUUGACUGGCUACUAUCAAAUCAAAAUUUUAUAAAACGGACAAUCUAGCACUCAUAUGUCAUAUGACAAUUGCAAAUCUCUCACAGUCUAUCGAAGGGAAAAAGGUGUACAUGUUUUUUAGCUUUUACCUUUAUAAAUGUAUAAGUAUCAUGUACUUAUCUACUUGCUUCCUCAACGCCCCCCUUUAUUAUCCUCUCUAACCUAUUACUAUAUAGUGCAGUGUCAAAUAAUAUAGUUCACACUAUUAGAUAAUUAAGAAAAUAUCUGAGUGACCAAAGCAUUGUUCACCCAGUAGGUUGCAAUACACUCUAUGCAUACUUACGCUUUUGUAACAUUGUUGUUCUCGAAUUCUCAAUACCAGUUUGGCAUUUCAUUCUUUCAUUUAUAAGAAAAUCCUUAACGUCAACUAAGUGUCCCGCAACAACGCACGGGGUAUCAUCUAGUUCAUUCAGUUUGACUGUGCGUAAACACUAUAGUGUACAACUAUCAACUUGUUUCACUAUUCAGUUUGUCAUCCAUUCAGCUUACUUACUGGGGCAUAUUUCUUGUGAGAGUUUACUUGAUAGUACAAUAUGUCAGAAGAAACUACCAUUUCUCCGGAAUGAAUCAUUGAUUGCUCUUUAUACACUUACAACUCGGUUUCUUUCAUAUAAGUUCUGAUGCCUUUCUUUAGGUCGAGCUACUGCCCUGUUAAUUAUUGUAACAAACUUUAUCAUUUGCCAGUUUGCACUGUGUUGAGAACUGACCAAUAAGUUUUGUUUGCCAAUUAGCUUUCUGUGUGCAUGCUCUUAAUCCCCAUAUUACUAAUUUCUGAAUCAAACAUUAUUAUUUCUGUCCUCAACAAGUCGCAGCGCUAUGUUCUGUUUUUUGUUUAGUUAGCUCUGUCAAAUAUAAUCAACCUGCCUAUGUUCCAUUUUGCUAUUUGUACUUAGGUAGAAAAAGCUAAAAUCUGUACAUGUAAUGCUGAAGCUAUAUUGGUUGCUUGUUUCUUAAUUUUUUCUUCUAUAAUGAUGAUCUGAAAUGCCACGCAGGUCAUUAUUGGUGGUGCUACUGCUGUUGUUGUGGUUGUUGGAGGUGUUGCUGUUGCAUCUGGCGGAGCUGCCGUUGGGGCCCCAAAAGGUAACCUUCAUCAGCCACAACCCCACAACAAUGGCUCAAGGUUCUGUGCCCUAUCACCCCUCUUUCUAAAUUACUGAAAUGAACCAAGAUCUCAUAUAUUUAGGAACGGAGGUAGUAGUAAGGUUAAAAUAGAAAAGCAAGGGAUGUUUCUAAUUUGGUUAUGCUAGAAUAAUGCAUCAACUCGUGGCAUUCUUGGAUGUUACUCUAAGGUGUCAAAAUGAUAGUAAAACCUAGGCUCUUGCAUGGUUCUUGAAUUAAUUUUUCUAUUUUAUGGCUAACAAAUAUUGCCUAUGUUGAGACUCUAAACAUGUGGAUUUUCCUCUCAUUUAUAGGAAUUCUACCUGAAGAAAUUCGGAGAAAACUUGAAGCCCCAGUUAGCGACUUGCUUUAUAUGUUAUUGACUUGUCAUGCUAAAUUUGUUGAGAAUUUUGAUAUACUAUUGCACAUGUUACUCGAAUGCUGGUAGUUAUGUACAUAUACUCACAAUAUUAUCCGUUGUUUACUUGAAAUGCAUUCUUGGGCUGAAAGUGGCUGAAAAAGUAUAUGCUGUGUUGAUUCUGCGUUGAUUGUGUAUGUCUAUUCUACAAAAGAAGAGGCACGGUCCAAAUGGAAUUAGUACUGAAAUGUCUAUUUGACCUAAUCUAUUUGGGCUUUGAAAAG
rnacentral:lncRNA from 1 species